UUAUUUAUUGAACCCAUACUAGCCAGGAAGGUGCCUCCAGUCCCUCAUUUUUACAUUAACUUCUGUUUCUCGUACUAACUACGUUUUCUAAUUUAAAUUACAGAAGGUGGAAACUUCAUAGGUAAAAACUCUUCUGUCUUGUUACUUUUCAUGAUUCCGGGGCAGAACAGACGUCCUGAAAGGCUAUUCCCUCCUUUUUAUGGAAGAGCAUUUUCCACAGAGAGAGAUGUUUAUAUGAGUCCUUACCAGCUACUGGUCGUGGUUUUUUACUAAGACAUCGAGAACUGUCUUCAGGAUUCCCAUCAUCUCCUCUGAAAAUCCAGGCUGCUGAAUGAAAGUUCUCUGUGUAGAAUCCUUUUUCUUCAAUAUCAAUUCGAAAGCCAAAAUCCAUGGGACGACCAUCAUCUGAGGUAACUGCGGAGCAGAGAGAGAGAGAGAGAGAGAGAGAGAGAGAGAGAGAGAGAGAGAGAGAGAGAGAGAGACAACACAAAUGUACUGGCAGGAGAGAAGAUCCAAGAGACUGGUGUUCCAGGUGAGAAAACAGAUGAAAUGCAGACCGUCUACACUGAUGAAGAGUGAUAUCUUUCAAAACAAGUAGCUAAGUAUGCUGGACAGUUUUCUUGGAAAGAACUUUUACAGUCCCAAAAUAUCAUCAAUCAAAAUAAGUACUGUUUUAGAGCCCAUCGCGUGGGUGACAAUGCACUAGAAAUAGCACUGUAAAUCCUUCUGACAAGGAAAAAUAUUGGAAGAAGUUUUAUAUUAGUACUCAGGCAUCAAGAUAAAACAACACAAGACUAGGAAUUACCUUCAGAAUCCCUUUCAAAGUAUCAGGGACAAGAAAAAGGACUACCAAAUUAAAAAAAAAAAAAACAAAGAAAUAAACAACCAAGCUAUCUUUGUGUUUGAAGAAGGUACUGAAAACUCACAUAGAAAACUUACUAUUAUCUUAUGUGAUGAGAAAAGCAUAUAAGAGGUACACAAAAUUGUACCUUGCAGUUCUUUCAUACCAAUCAAGGGUUUUCUGUGCAUAGGCGUGUGGAUAGUGUAGGAGGUUGUACCAGUAAAAGAAACGAGAUUACCUGUGUAUUUUUGAGACCUAUUUAAGAGGUUAAAAUCCAAAAAAGUCACACCCUAAACCUUUCAGUCUUUCAAAGGGGCAGAAUCAAGAAGCAUCCUUCAUAGCCAGAUUAUAAUUUCAUUAGUUUUCAUUUCUCAAAUGCCACAAAAACAUUAGAGUUUGGACAUCACAGUAAUGCUUAUUAAAGAAUAAAGAACAUCUUAUUCUCUUCUCUUAUCGUCUUUUCACAUACUGUAGUUACGCCGAUGUCUUUGUCUGAAAAAUUCCAGGUAAAAUCUUCUCCCUCUCCCCCUCCCACCACCAGAGAGCGGCCAUGGACUCUUGGGCUGUAGCCUGCCAGUAACAUGAGCUCCUAAGAAGGAUGUGCUCUCUGCUUGUGCUGAUUUUUCCCUGGUGAAUCAUUUUUAAUCAUUCUUGCCUUGCUCUUUCAUUUACAUCCUUGGUUUCUCAGUAGCAGGCAGAAAAGGGUAAAUAUUACAUAUUGUUCUGUCCACUUAUUUAUUGCUGAACCUAUGAGAUUUCAGCUCAAAGAUUUAUGUGGCUUGUGUAGGAUGUACUUGGGUGUUGUUUUGACAAAAGAUGUAAAAGCAUAGCCUCUUGCAGACAGUCAAGAGCAAAUCCUAAAUACUUUUUUUCCAAAUCCAAAUACCUUAAGUGAUGAUGUCAUUUUUUAAAAUAAUUAUUUUGUGCUCUGAAUGUGAUUGCACUGGUCGUUGAUAGUUGAUGUGGUUUCAGGAAUGUUAGUUCAUGAAUUAAUUCAUUCACUGAGUUAAAUUGAAAUAAAUGUUCUCUCAUGAACAAGGUGUAAACUUGUGUACAAUGGGGGUGGGAAAGAUAAAGAUAAAGAUGAAGACAGGAACUCAUGAGAAAAUAAGAGAAUUCAGAGGAAGAAGGCAGUGAUUCUGGCUGUAGGGAGUGUAGAUUAAAGGAGAAUAUAUUAGGCUUAGCCUUGUGGAGCCUAUGGGGGGAUGAGGUAGGAGAGGGCUGAUAAACAUGAGGUGGACAGCUGGCCUCCAGCGGGGGAGCAGAUGUAGGUUAAAUACCCUUAUUCUAAAGACGUGAAAUUGGAAGUGUAAAAUAGGAAGCUUUUGACUAUGAACACAAUGCCACAAAUGGAAGUUUCCAUAUCUCAAAUCACAAGAGAGGACACAGUCAAGACAGCUACAAUAAAAA